GCAAACUUGGUCAUUUAGAGGAAGUAAAAGUCGUAACAAGGUUUCCGUAGGUGAACCUGCGGAAGGAUCAUCACCGAUUCUUAAAACCCCCUUCAAGCGCUUCGGCCUUGAAGGCAACUCUCUUGUGCACUUGUAAUUAUGUUAUGUGGGAGAUCAGUCAAGUGAAGCAUUUAGCUGAAUGAGACUCUCCCACCAUUACUAGUUAACCAAGCAUUUCUUAUUCAAAGCAAGUCUGAUACAUGGGUUUUUAAACUCAAAUUUAAAUAAUCUAGUACAACUUGCAGCGAUGGAUCUCUUGGCUCUGGCAUCGAUGAAGAACGCAGC
rnacentral:misc_RNA from 1 species